AUGGAAGAGGAGGCUAUCACAUUGAAACAAGAGGAUGAUAUUACAGGGAAAGAGGAAGAUGGGAAAGAGGUUGUCAGAGUGGAAAAUGAGGAGGUAGAAGCUUUCAGAAUCAAAAAUGAUGAAGAUCCCGUAACAUUGAAGAAGGAGAAUAUAGUAAAAGAAGAGGAAGAAGCUUUCAGAAUCAAAAAGGAAGAAGAUGCCGUAACAUUGAAGAAAGAGAAUGUAGCGAAAGAAGAGGAAGAACCUUUUGGAGUAAAAGAGGAGGAAGAUGUUUUAGGAGUGAAAAAGGAGGAGGAGUCAGAAUAUCCGAUUUCCAUCCGAGAGAGACAUGACGAUCCUGGAUCCUCUGGGGAGCCUCAACAACAUCCUGAUGCUGACGAGGCAGAGAAGAGUCUCUCCAGAUCAGAACACCAGAUGGACAACGCUAGCCCUUCCUCCCUCCCGGAGUCCCCGUGUCAUGCCUCUUCCGGUAGCACCUUACUGCUGGGUAUGAAGAGGUUGUCUGUGCUGCUGGUGGACUGCAGGAAAACAACGGGGCUGAGUGGAACUGUGAGAGGAGGAGAAGAGAAGAAAGGAUCAGAUUUGACACAUCAAAGUAAGUGCUGUAGUUUAGUUUGAACAAAUACAAUAGAUCUGCCCACUGGUAUCUGUUACCAGGACAACCAGCAGAGUUCUGUUUGUUGACAGGAAGAUAGACUGGUAUAUUUCCACCACAGUAGACAGUUCUGUUAAUUGACAUGUAAAACCUUGAUGUAAGUUGUUUUAGAGAGAAACCAAUAGACCAUAUAAAACCUUGAUGAAAGUCAGCUUUAGAGGGAAAGUUUCAAGAGGAUCUGAUGUAAGGUGCAUGUUUUACAAAAAUCUUUUCCAUAAAACAUGAUGGAUGUUACAUUGCCUGUCCCAGUCAACCCCCUUAUCUUUACUAGACUGUAGAACAGGAACUUGUCGGCCCUGCAUUAAGGACCAAAUUGUGAUAAAUAGAAAUGUUUACCAGUUCCAUUUAAGGACCAAACAACUGACAGCUGUGCCAAAUAAAUUUCAAAAUAGUUGGCAAGAGAUUUUCAUUGUACUGAUUCCAUGGCACAUGGUUUAUGAAUUGACACGCAAAAUGACGCCGGAUUGAAAGCUCAGCACAGUUAAAAUAUAUAUGGCAAAUAUAAAUCCCAUAUGGAUGUUAAGAGACAGAUGGGAGGGGUUGAAUGGAGCUGAAGGGACUGGAUGGUGUUAAGAGACAGAUGGGAGGGGUUGAAUGGAGCUGAAGGAUGGGACUGGAUGGUGUUUAGAGACAGAUGGGAGUGGUUGAAUGGAGCUGAAGGGACUGGAUGGUGUUUAGAGACAGAUGGGAGGGGUUGAAUGGAGCUGAAGGGACUGGAUGGUGUUUAGAGACAGAUGGGAGGGGUUGAAUGGAACUGAAGGGACUGGAUGGUGUUAAGAGACAGAUGGGAGGGGUUGAAGGGACUGGAUGGUGUUUAGAGACAGAUGGGUGGGGUUGAAUGGAGCUGAAGGGACUGGAUGGUGUUGAGACAGAUGGGAGGGGUUGAAUGGAGCUGAAAGGUGGGACUGGAUGGUGUUUAGAGACAGAUGGAAGGGGUUGAAUGGAGCUGAAGGGACUGGAUGGUGUUUAGAGACAGAUGGGAGGGGUUGAAUGGAGCUGAAAGGUGGGACUGGAUGGUGUUUAGAGACAGAUGGGUGGGGUUGAAUGGAGCUGAAGGGUGGGACUGGAUGGUGUUAAGAGAUGGAAGGGGUUGAAUGGAGCUGAAGGGUGGGACUGGAUGGUGUUAAGAGAUGGAAGGGGUUGAAUGGAGCUGAAGGGUGGGACUGGAUGGUGUUAAGAGAUGGAAGGGGUUGAAUGGAGCUGAAGGGUCUGGAUGGUGUUUAGAGACAGAUGGGAGGGGUUGAAUGGAGCUGAAGGGUGGGACUGGAUGGUGUUUAGAGACAGAUGGGAGGGGUUGAAUGGAGCUGAAGGGACUGGAUGGUGUUUAGAGACAGAUGGGAGGGGUUGAAUGGAGCUGAAGGGUGGGACUGGAUGGUGUUUAGAGACAGAUGGGAGGGGUUGAAUGGAGCUGAAGGGACUGGAUGGUGUUUAGAUACAGAUGGGAGGGGUUGAAUGGAGCUGAAGGGACUGGAUGGUGUUUAGAGACAGAUGGGAGGGGUUUAAUGGAGCUGAAGGGUGGGACUGGAUGGUGUUAAGAGAUGGGAGGGGUUGAAUGGAGCUGAAGGGGCUGGAUGGUGUUAAGAGAUGGAAGGGGUUGAAUGGAGCUGAAGGGUGGGACUGGAUGGUGUUAAGAGAUGGAAGGGGUUGAAUGGAGUUGAAGGGUGGGACUGGAUGGUGUUAAGAGAUGGAAGGGGUUGAAUGGAGCUGAAGGGUGGGACUGGAUGGUGUUUAGAGACAGAUGGGAGGGGUUGAAUGGAGCUGAAGGGACUGGAUGGUGUUUAGAGACAGAUGGGAGGGGUUGAAUGGAGCUGAAGUGGG
ensembl:lncRNA